rnacentral:tRNA from 1 species
GGUUCUGGGGUGUCAACACGUGAGAUUGCAAAUCUCAAAAAGCAGGAUAAGACCUGCCGGGACUU